GAAGGGGGGACGGAGAAGGCUAUGUUGGCCGGGCGACGGUUGUCCCGGUUUAAGCGUGUAGGUGUGUGUUCCAGGUAAAUCCGGUUCACUUUAACACUGAGGCGUGAUGACGAGGCACUACGGUGCUGAAGCAACAAAUGCCCUGCUUCCAGGAAAAGCCUCUAAGCAUCAGGUAACAUCAAAUCGUACCCCAAACCGACACAGGUGGUCAGGUAGAGAAUACCAAGGCGCUUGAGAGAACUCGGGUGAAGGAACUAGGCAAAAUGGUGCCGUAACUUCGGGAGAAGGCACGCUGACACGUAGGUGAAGUGAUUUACUCACGGAGCUGAAGUCAGUCGAAGAUACCAGCUGGCUGCAACUGUUUAUUAAAAACACAGCACUGUGCAAACACGAAAGUGGACGUAUACGGUGUGACGCCUGCCCGGUGCCGGAAGGUUAAUUGAUGGGGUCAGCGCAAGCGAAGCUCCUGAUCGAAGCCCCGGUAAACGGCGGCCGUAACUAUAACGGUCCUAAGGUAGCGAAAUUCCUUGUCGGGUAAGUUCCGACCUGCACGAAUGGCGUAAUGAUGGCCAGGCUGUCUCCACCCGAGACUCAGUGAAAUUGAACUCGCUGUGAAGAUGCAGUGUACCCGCGGCAAGACGGAAAGACCCCGUGAACCUUUACUAUAGCUUGACACUGAACAUUGAGCCUUGAUGUGUAGGAUAGGUGGGAGGCUUUGAAGUGUGGACGCCAGUCUGCAUGGAGCCGACCUUGAAAUACCACCCUUUAAUGUUUGAUGUUCUAACGUGGACCCGUAAUCCGGGUUGCGGACAGUGUCUGGUGGGUAGUUUGACUGGGGCGGUCUCCUCCUAAAGAGUAACGGAGGAGCACGAAGGUUGGCUAAUCCUGGUCGGACAUCAGGAGGUUAGUGCAAUGGCAUAAGCCAGCUUGACUGCGAGCGUGACGGCGCGAGCAGGUGCGAAAGCAGGUCAUAGUGAUCCGGUGGUUCUGAAUGGAAGGGCCAUCGCUCAACGGAUAAAAGGUACUCCGGGGAUAACAGGCUGAUACCGCCCAAGAGUUCAUAUCGACGGCGGUGUUUGGCACCUCGAUGUCGGCUCAUCACAUCCUGGGGCUGAAGUAGGUCCCAAGGGUAUGGCUGUUCGCCAUUUAAAGUGGUACGCGAGCUGGGUUUAGAACGUCGUGAGACAGUUCGGUCCCUAUCUGCCGUGGGCGCUGGAGAACUGAGGGGGGCUGCUCCUAGUACGAGAGGACCGGAGUGGACGCAUCACUGGUGUUCGGGUUGUCAUGCCAAUGGCACUGCCCGGUAGCUAAAUGCGGAAGAGAUAAGUGCUGAAAGCAUCUAAGCACGAAACUUGCCCCGAGAUGAGUUCUCCCUGAGACUUUAGGUCUCCUGAAGGAACGUUGAAGACGACGACGUUGAUAGGCCGGGUGUGUAAGCGCAGCGAUGCGUUGAGCUAACCGGUACUAAUGAACCGUGAGGCUUAACCUUA
rnacentral:rRNA from 1 species